CACGUAGGGGGCGAGCGUUGUCCGGAUUUAUUGGGCGUAAAGAGCUCGUAGGCGGCUCGGUAAGUCGGGUGUGAAAACUCGGGGCUCAACCCCGAGACGCCACUCGAUACUGCUGUGGCUAGAGUCCGGUAGGGGAGCGUGGAAUUCCUGGUGUAGCGGUGAAAUGCGUAGAUAUCUGGAGGAACACCGGUGGCGAAGGCGGCAUCCUGGACCGGCAUUGACGCUGAGGAGCGAAAGCUAGGGGAGCAAACGGG
rnacentral:rRNA from 1 species